rnacentral:rRNA from 1 species
UACGUAGGGGGCUAGCGUUGUCCGGAUUUAUUGGGCGUAAAGAGCGUGUAGGCGGCCUGACAGGUCUGCUGUGAAAACUCGAGGCUCAACCUCGAGAUGUCGGCGGAAACCGUCUGGCUAGAGUCCGGAAGAGGAGAGUGGAAUUCCUGGUGUAGCGGUGAAAUGCGCAGAUAUCAGGAAGAACACCUAUGGCGAAGGCAGCUCUCUGGGACGGUACUGACGCUGAGACGCGCAAGCGUGGGGAGCAAACAGG